rnacentral:tRNA from 1 species
GCCUGGGUGGCUCAGUCGGUUGAGCGUCCGACUUUGGCUCAGAUCAUGAUCUUGCAGUUUGUGAGUUUGAGCCCCGCCUCAGGCU